rnacentral:rRNA from 1 species
GACGAAGGUGGCUAGCGUUGUUCGGAAUUACUGGGCUUAAAGAGCACGUAGGCGGUCUACCAAGCGUUUUGUGAAAGCCCCCGGCUUAACCGGGGAAUUGCUUAGCGAACUGGUAGACUUGAGGUAGGCAGGAGCGAGUGGAACUCUUGGUGGAGCGGUGGAAUGCGUAGAUAUCAAGAGGAACGCCGAUGGUGAAGACAGCUCGCUGGGCCUGUCCUGACGCUGAGGUGCGAAAGCCAGGGGAGCAAACGGGAUUAGAUACCCCGGUAGUCCUGGCCCUAAACGAUGUCCACUAGGCCGAUGAUGCUCUGACGGAUUGUCGGCCGGAGAAAAAUUAUUAAGUGGACCGCCUGGGGAGUACGGUCGCAAGGCUAAA